rnacentral:misc_RNA from 1 species
GAUCAAAACCAGCGCUGGCGGCAUGGCGUGGCGCCUGAGGCGCUGUA